CCCGAGCCGGGAGCCCGGCCACCGGGACAGCGGGCUGCGGGCUGCUCCAGCCCCGCCAGGUUCCGGAGUCGUUUGGUGUUGGGUCCUCCCCUGCAGCGAGCGAUCCCUCCCUAAGGCGCCCUGGAUGGAUUGCACUCUGCUGUAGGAUGUAUUUACUUCCCUCCUUCUUCCUUGUACGUCAUCCACAACCUGCCUCAUCUGAAGGUGCCUCCACUCUCCACCAUGAAUGAUGAUCAGAGACUACACAACAAUGCGGUAGCUUGGCUGGUCUGCUCGGGGGUCUCCGUUCUAGCCAACACCUGGGGGAUUCUGAGUGUAAGUGCCAAGCAGAAGAAAUGGAAGCCCCUGGAGUUCCUUAUCUGCACACUGGCUGGGACUCACAUCCUUAACAUAGCCAUCCCCAUUACUAUGUACUCUGUGAUCGAGCUCCGGCGGCAGCGCUCAGACUAUGAAUGGAGCGAAGGCCUCUGCAAGGUCUUUGUCUCCACCUUCUAUACCUUAACCUUGGUCACCUGCUUCUCAGUCACCUCCCUGUCCUACCAUCGGAUGUGGAUGGUCCGCUGGCCAGUCAAUUACAGGUUGAGCAAUACCAAGAAACAAGCUGUUCACACUGUGAUGGGCAUUUGGAUGGUGUCCUUCAUCCUCUCCACCUUGCCAGCAGUCGGAUGGCAUGACACCACCGAGCGCUUCUACGCCAGGGACUGUCGCUUCAUUGUCACCGAGAUCGGCCUGGGCUUCGGCGUCUGCUUCCUGCUUCUCAUCAGCGGCAGUGUGGCGAUGGGCGUCGUCUGCACCAGCAUCGCCCUCUUCCAGACCUUCUCCGUCCAAAUGGGGCACAGCGUCGACAGGAACAAGUUCAACGUGCCUGCCAUCGUGGUGGAGGACGCGCAGGGCAAACGGCGCUCGUCCAUCGAUGGCUCCGAGCCCAUCAAGACCUCUCUGCAAAUCACCUACCUGGUCACCGGGAUCGUGUUCAUUUAUGAUUUCCUGAUGGGCUUUCCCAUCCUGGUGGUGAGCUUUGCCAGCCUGAAGUCUGACAUGUCCUACAGCUGGAUGGUGUUGUGUGUUCUCUGGUGCUCGGUCAUCCAGUCCCUGCUCCUCCCCCUCUUCCUCUGGGCCUGCGAUCGCUACCGAGCAGACAUAAGGUCCAUCUGGGAGAAGUGCGUGGCCAUCAUGUCCAACGACGACGCAGAUGAAGAGACCAGCCUGGAUGGUGCAAUUCACACCGACCUGAUGUACGAGAGGCCUUACGACUAUAACUACGGAGGGGACAUCUUAGCACUGGAGCACAUUGCCAAGUACGACUUCUCGGCCCUGGAGAGAGGAAUCCCUCAGGUGUAUCCUGUGCGAUCGGUGCAGGAGAACAAAAUGCAGUAUCUGCAGGUCCCGCCUCUGAGGCGUUAUUCUCAUGAUGAAACGGACAUUUGGACUACGGGCCAGAUUUCAGCCUACCUUCAGCGCUGGGGGGCGGGUGAGGACGCGGCCAGGCUGGCCCACCUCCUCAUCCCACGGCAUGCACGGAGGAGGAGCAGCCUGACCUCCUACCACGAGGAGCGGCUCCCCUACCGCAAGCGCCGGAAGUCUGCGGAGAGCGUCAUCUCACUCCAGCCGCUCUCCCGCAAGGACCUGUACAAGUGCUUCAGCAAGGAGGAAGUGGUGAACUUCAUUGACGAGAGCCCCCUGCCCAGCCCCAGGAAAAGCCCCAUGCACUCGUCUUCCGUCUCCCUCCUCCCUGAGUCUUUUCUGCCCCAGGCCAGCGUGCGCUCCAACUUCCCUCUGACCGACUUUGAGCGGGAGCCUCAGGUGCUGCGCAGGUUCUCGGCGCAGGGGAAGGUCUGCACCCUCGCUGUGCCCAGGCCUCUCCGUGCCCAGGAGGACCCCAGAUGCCUCUUUCCCGAGGGAAACAGAGACCCCUGCAGGGGACAAACUCCCUUCGAACUCGGGGAGGCCCAGGCAUUAGACAGCCGCCCAGCAAGCAGCAGCUGCUCCGAGUCAGGGGGAUUUCGGACGAGUUUGAGCAUCUCCUGGGGGGAGCAGGACAAUCUACAGAAAGGUGGGAGCAAAGGAAGCAGCACUAGCUUUUUAAGCUCCCCUUCUGCUUCAUCUGGGUAUAUAACAUUUCAUUCCGACUCCAUCGGCUCGGCCUCCUAGGAGCAGGUGUGCUGGACCCCAAUGCCACCUCUGCCGUGUGUGUUGGUUUUCUAUGGCUUUCCUUACGUCCUUCAAAGAGGUGGUCUUGGUUUAGUAGCGGGAGCUGAGCAAAGCACCAAAGAAAUCUGACGUUGUCUCAUGAUUAAAAAAAGGGAGGCCGAGAGACUGAUGUGGAAUGUCACAGAAAGGAAUAUCUGAUCUGAGGAUGGUGUAAAAAUGUUUGAAAUUCCUACUCAGGUGGACAAAACCACAGCCCGGUCCUUCCAGACCCUUUCUGUGUGUGGCUGGCAGGGGAGCCUGGGAUGGGGGGAUCGGAGCAGGUGCUGCAGCACAGAGCGAAUACUCUGCUUUAUUCUGGGCAGCAGGAUUGUGCCGUCUGUAAAAGGCUGGUGGGGGUUUAGCUGAACCCCAUGUUCUCUCCUGGUAUUUAUUAGUAGCUGUAACGUGCAUCAUUUAUCUCUCUAGUGAUCGCUAACACGCUGCAUUCUCCUGUUCAGGCUGGGGUUGAAAGUUGAGCUUGCGUUUCCUUUAGAGAAGAAUAAAGAUAUUUCUCAUUUUAGUCAGAGCGGUUGGCUCACCAAGGGAAGCAGCCUUAUCUCCAAGGUACGGUAGCCUGACACUACAGUGCCUAAUAGUGCGGGGCUGGGGUGUGUGUGUGUGCGCGUGUGUGUGUGACUUAUCCAAGACCUGGCUCCCUCUCUGUCUGGGGAAAGGAGGAUUGAACAGUACGAACUGGCCUGUGUUCGUGCUCUGGGAACAGACCGAGUGCUGUUACGGAGUUGGGUUAGUCACGUGUGUGGUGAAUAACAGUCAGAUGGAAACAUGGGGCUCAGCAUAUGGCAGGUAAGAAAACAUUAUGGCAACACUCGGCUGAUGUUGUUGCUAGAGCGUGCUGUGCGUCUGGCCAUCGCAAUGCAUCCAGGCUGCUCCAGACAGAAACAGCUGCUUCCUGAGCAGAGCGAACAGAUUCAGUUUUGACAUUUAGAAAAAAUUAGGGUGUUUUCUUCUUCCCCUAUUGAUGUGAUUAAAAACAAGACCCAGGCAGAGAUUGCUCUGGGCUGACAAACUCAGCCUCUCCCCCCGUCUCUCCUCCACCGCAUUUGAGGGCAAGGCCUUUCUGAGGGCAGAAGAAUGGGGUGUGUUUUGCAGGGAACAUUGAUACACUGGGCAGAAUUCAGGCACUGAAAAGCUUUUGUUGCCAGCGAAAGGCUGAGUUAAUCACCGACAAAACCAGUGUGUCUCUUCUGUCCCUUCUUGACACUGUCUGUGAGCCACAAAGAGAGGGGGAAAAAAAGGAGAAGAUUGGUACCUGAUAAGCUAAUGACACUGGCUCCAGUGGACCAAGAACAGAGGCCGGCUUUAAGACAGGCUAAGUGAAUUAGGCCCAUUUUUCUGGAUUCUGUAAUGGCCGGUGACCGCAGACAGAUCUGUGAUUCACUUAGUGCAUCUUCAUAACUCACUGCCGAGGCUGAGAGUCGUAGUUCCUAGAGUCAGACUGCUCGUGGCUUCUGCCACAGCCCGAGGAUCCAUUUCUUGUACAGGCUUGCACGAGACCCGGUUGUACAGGCUCGCACAAGACCCGGUUGUACAGGCUCGCACAAGGCUCCAUUGCUCUUGUGCAUUCGUGCAGCUCUCAGCCUUGUUGCUCCGGACCUGCAUGAAACUGGAGAAUUGGUGCCUCCUGCUCCUUUGGGUUCAUGUUGUGAAAUCCAGCUAAUUUGUAUCCUGUGGUUUCACCGCUGAUACAGACACAAGCUAAAGGUAAAGUGGCAGGUUCACUCUGUGGAGCUAAUUUCUGUGUCCUUAAAACUAAAACAAGCAAUGUUUGAAGUGCAAAAAACAAAGCUGGUGAUGACUGGUACCCUCCCCCCCCCACCCCCCACCCCCACACUCCUUUUCUUCCCCAACUGCCGCAAUCAGAAGCAUGGGUCUGGCACAGCCAUUUCUCUUCCCUUCCCAGCCCCAGUCUGAACACUGCUAAUGGGGGGAACUGAAGCCUCAGCGAUGCAUCUCUGCUUUGACUUUUCCCUUGAACACUGGUACCCAGUGGCAGGCCACUCUGCACUGAUUGUGUAUCCAGCACUAACAACGCAUAUGUCCCAGCCCUGCCAUGCUUGCUGUUAGCGCCUUGAACCAGUUCAGAGCUGUGGAAGGCUUCAGUGUCCUGCCCUGCAGUUCAUAACUGGGAUACAAUUUCGGCGAAUAGGAAAAAACCCUGAUUACAGGCGGAGAGAAAACGGAAAUAUUCACUGAUUAUUUCCCAAGCCCCGCCAAUGUACCCUGGAAAAUACUGAGAGUUGCCACGUCAAAGUCUAGUCUGCUCCUCCCAUCAGAGCCAAAACGCACCUGCUACAGUAGCACCCCUCCCUGUUAUGUGCAUCAGCUGAUAGAUGCUGGUGCCUUGGAAGAGCAGGGAGGAGUGGCCGGCUUUCUGCUGGGCUCUCAUCGUGUUUCCUGUUCCAGUUGGCUUGCACCUCUAAUGCAGAUAUUUCUGCCCAUCAGUUAAUCCACCCACUAGGCUGUUACUCCUGUUUCUCUAGCUGUAGCCCCCUCUCUUCUUCAACUCCUGGGCGUAGGCUGGGGCUUGAGGGUUACAGUAUCUGGCUUGCAAAGGGUUUCAAUCCUUUUCUCUUGCUUCCCUCAGCCUGGGCUUCUUAAAAUCUAUGUUUGAGCUACAUACACUCCCUGACGGUGCUUAGCACAUCGCUCGCUCCAAAAGAGUCAGAGUGCUUUGCAAACAUAUGUGAAUUGGGCCAUUUUACUGGUGGGGAGGUAGAGUCCUUGUCUGUGUCCAGACUGCUUAUGGUGCAGCAUGACUUCCCCUGGUGUUGGCUGAGCUCUGAUGUAAGGACUGGGCCCCUGCCCGGCACCUGCCUGUGUGGAUCCUUGUAUUUCGGUUCAGGAGUGGCUUAUUCCAGUUUAGUUUAACCCUCUUCCUAGUCAAUUUCAGCUAAACUGAGAUAAGCCUGGCUUAGACCGAAAGACACGUACACAUAGCCUUUUGCACCAGUUUAACUACAUCACUUUGAAAUCGCAUCGCUGGCUACCCUGGUGCUGCUCUGCAGCCCUGAGGCACAGAGACGGGAAGGGUCUUGCCCCCAAAAUCGCCCAGGGAGGACAGCCCCAGUCUUGACUCCCAAUCCCCUCUGACUUGCUCCCUGGAAGUAGGAAACCUGGAGCAUGGCGAGUUCUGUGAACAUGUAAUGUCUAGUCUCGGGUUGCAGUAUAUGUUAAACACCUUUAGAAAUCAGUUCCCCAAAGGCAGCUUUAGAGGGCUGGGGAAGGUAAGAGCCAUCGGGAUUUCCCUGCCAUUUUUUACCUUCUAUUUUUACUUUCCCUUCUAUUACCUCCAAGGUCUGCGUCAGCCUAAUCCACCCUGCUGUGCAAAGCAGCUUGGAUGUGAAUCUCCCUGGAGCCUGCCAAUGCCUCCGAGUUGCCUGGAGUGGGUCACUCUGCCCCAUUCCCAGCCAUUGCAGGUGGCGGGGACAGAAGUGGCAAGUUGUAUAUCGAGUUGCUAAGAGAAGACGUGGCCUUUCUGCUUGGCAGCCAGGGUAUUCAUAGUGCUCUUCUGUCCUGCAGGGGUUAUCAGGAAAUGGGCGUAUGUUUUUACCCCGAGGUCUGCAUUUGCAGAGCAGAAGCCAUAUGGUUGGUCAUCAUAUCUGAUAGUGCGCCCAAGUAUAGCCCUUUCCAGACAGCUUGGAAGGGAUGAAUAUUGUGUUUUUUUAAUAGCAGCCUAUAACAGAGGGAGAAUCAUUGUUGCAAAAGUUACAUUUGACUAUAGAACCUACUAUUUUGCAGUGUUGUGUAGCACUGUUGGUCCCCAGAUAUCAGAGAGACAAGGCGGGUGAGAAUCUUUUAUUGGACCCACUUCUGUUGGUGAGAGAGACACUUUCAAGCCCCACAGAGCUGUUCUGCAGGUCUGGGAAAGGUAUUCCCAGUGCCCCAGGUUAAUACAAAGUGGAACAGAUUGUUUAGCAUUAACACACAUUCUCGGUGAAGUGCUAACCCUCUUUCCCAGGGGAGACUCUUCCCGAGUCCUAUCAAGAUCGUUAGGACAGUUGUCCUGACUUCCACCCUAAACUUUCCCUUUGAUAAACUCACUGCUCUCUGUCAAGUACUUACACUGUGGCUGUUCCCUGCCGCUCUUACUGGUCUCUCUGCUGAGUUAUUCAUACUUAGCUCUUUCAGUGUUUGGUUAGGUCAGCAGCCCCUCUGAACCUAUCAUGCUCUGGGCCCCUCUAUCUUGAUCCCCUCUGAUUUGUUUUAGCCAUCUGGAAUGGGGAUGCCCCAAGCUGCAUGCCGUAUUCACGGGCAGUCCCUACGUGCUGCAUAAAGAGGGACAUUCCCUCCCUGGUCUGUGAUGUUAUGCUUGUGUGAAUGCAACCCGAUAUAUAUUGUAAAAUAUGGUAACAUGCAUGUAUUGGUUUCAUGUACUCUUGCAUUUCUUUGAGUUAGACCAGCUACACUCUCAGCUGAGAUUCCCCGGUGCUAGCAGGAGCUGUCUGAGAACAGAAAAUAUACAUAUGCCAUAGAACAGUUAGCAGUAGCGCUUUUGACGGGACUCUGUGCCCCAGCGGCUUAUUUUCUAGUACGUGAGAUUUCGCUAGCUCACAAGCGAGCACUGAAGGGUGUCAGCAGCAUGCUCAGGAGGGCUGACAAGACUGUGACCAGGGCCUCUGCCUCGCCCUGUAGUUCUCUGCCAUUUCCUUUCCCAUCAGCCCCGAUUGCCCUGGGGUGGGGGUAAAUAGAAAGCAUCUCUCCGAUAACCUUCCUGCUCUGCACAGGGAGGCCGGUUGGGUCUAGAGGGGCUGCGAGGCAGGACUCCUGGAUCCUGUUCAUGGCUCUGCUGUUCAUUGGACAAGUGACUUGUCCAAGCUCACACCACUUCUGUGUGCCUCGGUUUCCUCAGAUGUGGUGGCAGUUUAGUAACGUUUGCCUUUCUCACGGGGCUGUGAUCCCUCAGUGAAAAGUGCUUUUGAGUGCAAAGUACCAUUGGUACCGGUUCCUUAAAGAAUGCUGCCUGCUGCCCCAAUUCCCUGCACAGCGAGAGUACUGAGCGGCACCUGUGUAGCCCCUGGUACCUUGUUAAUCAGCACUGAUGGGGAAAGGAAUUCCAGGGAAAGCAUGUGGCUAAACUAUCUGCUUUGCCUGAAUGUGAAGAAGGGGUGGGAGAAUCCUCCUCCGCUGCAAGAAAUAGUCUAUAACGGAUCGCCAGAAAACUCUGCCGCCUUUUCCAGUGAAAGAGUGAACAGACAGAGCCGCAGUUGAGUUGUGUCAUUGAUGGUCUGAAGCAUACAAAUGCAGACUGAAUUCAAAGAACCGGUACAUUUUACUGAAAUAGACUGAUUUAAAUUAUACACAUAAAGUGCUGCCAACUGCACUAGACUGAAAAUAAAAUGCAUUUGGAACCAAAAUUCAACUCCUCUGAAAUUGGAGCCACCCGUUGAAUUCUGUUGGGUUUGAGGUGUGUUUCUUUUUGACAAAUCUAACCCUGACUGUAAAAGAACAAUCCAGAUCCUGCCAUUAAUUCACUUAAACUUCAAAGCCAUGAAUGAAACAUUAAAGAAACACAGUCGGUUUCCGUGUUACGUUUGAAUCCUUAGUUUUGUCAUAAGCAAAAAAUACUCAAUCUUGAGCUCUUCUCAACUGGGUCCUGGAGAAUGAGAUUUCUCCUGUUAAGUGAGUGAAGAGAGUCUCUGUGUCUAGGGACAGGUGUGAGGUAUGCUUAUAAUUUGGAAUGCACAAUGUUUAAAUGAACCAUUCUAACUAAUUCAUUUUUCAAUUGCAAUAAAAAAAAAUGAACCACAAACUUAGAAACAAGGGGUUAAACAGAGCGUCUGGGUGGGUGUUUUAUUCCUAUUGAUAAAAUUCCACCACCAGAAAGUGAUGUUGUGCCUUUAAGGAUUAAAAAUAUUGAUGCUGGUCAUUUAUUAAUAAUUCUGUUGGUGACCUCUUUGUGUUUCACCUCUAACCAGGGGAGAACAAGGCUUUAAGCAGUUGUUAACAAUUUGUAGUACUGUAUCUUUUUAACUAUUUUUAGUGUCAAAAGGCAAUAUUCUGAAAAGAAUGUGUUUUGUGCCACCGUAUCGCAGAGAGCCAAUCCUGAUUUUUACUGAAUUUUGGAGAAAAAAAAAAGAAUACAAAGGCUGCUCCGUUCUUUGGGAUAACUAGACAAUGUCUUUUUAUUGCACAAUAAUGAUUGAUGUUUUGUAAAUUCCAAUGUAUUCCAAUAAGGUACUUUUGUUGGAACUCAAACUACUUCUUUAAACUGUUCUGUGUGUACUAUGCAUUUGUAAGAUCUCCAUUCUGUCAGUGAUGUUGAUGCUUUGCAACAAUUCUUUCUAUUGGUCUAAAUGGAUUUGUCUUAAGUAUAAAGUUUAAAGCAUUUUAUUCACAGUAUUUCUGAUUGGUUUGUAGUUUGCUCUUUUUUGACAACUUGAGGGUUUCUCUUUGUAAAGGACUGAAUAAAAAUCCCUUCCGUAUUGUUUACACUCCAUUCACCUUG